CUACUGGACUAGAGUGUGGUAGGGGCAGAGGGAAUUCCCGGUGUAGCGGUGAAAUGCGUAGAUAUCGGGAAGAGCACCAGUGGCGAAGGCGCUCUGCUGGGCCAUAACUGACGCUCAUGGACGAAAGCCAGGGGAGCGAAAGGGAUUAGAUACCCCUGUAGUCCUGGCCGUAAACGAUGAACACUAGGUGUCGGGGGAAUCGACCCCCUCGGUGUCGUAGCCAACGCGUUAAGUGUUCCGCCUGGGGAGUACGCACGCAAGUGUGAAACUCAAAGGAAUUGACGGGGGCCCGCACAAGCGGUGGAGUAUGUGGUUUAAUUCGAUGCAACGCGAAGAACCUUACCAGGGUUUGACAUCCUGCGAAUCUCCCGGAAACGGGAGAGUGCCUUCGGGAACGCAGUGACAGGUGGUGCAUGGCUGUCGUCAGCUCGUGUCGUGAGAUGUUGGGUUAAGUCCCGCAACGAGCGCAACCCACGUCUUUAGUUGCCAGCAUUCAGUUGGGCACUCUAGAGAGACCGCCGGUGAUAAACCGGAGGAAGGUGUGGAUGACGUCAAGUCAUCAUGCCCCUUACAUCCUGGGCUACACACGUACUACAAUGCUACGGACAAAGAGCAGCAAGUUCGCGAGGACAAGCAAAUCUCAUAAACCGUGGCUCAGUUCAGAUCGUAGGCUGCAACUCGCCUACGUGAAGGAGGAAUCGCUAGUAAUCGCAGGUCAGCAUACUGCGGUGAAUACGUUCCCGGGCCUUGUACACACCGCCCGUCACACCAUGGAAGUUGGCCACGCCCGAAGCCGUUACUCCAACCCUUGUGGAGGAGGACGUCGAAGGUGGGGCUGAUGACUGGGGUGAAGUCGUAACAAGGUAGCCGUA
rnacentral:rRNA from 1 species